AUUUGAGAAUGAAACCAAUCACAGAGAACAAGUCGUCAGGAAUAUGGGGUAAAAAUAACACAUUUAACUGUUUAUUUCUUUGUUCUUGCAGAUUUCUACAUUGACUUUAAUUAAGCUAGCCCUGGGCUAGUGGGCAUGGAGAGGGUUUUUUUCCCCUUUUUAAUUUUUUUAAUUCCUCAUUAGGCUGUUUUUUCCUUAGCUGUCAUGACUUUAAUGACUAGUCCCAUUAAUUAGGUCAAUGGGCUUCUUUUAUUUCAAGUUUCAUAUAGACUCAUAUCCCACUGAAUCUUAAACACUGAACACCCGAAGUCUUUCUAGGUGUAUUUCUUCAUUUCUGCAGCUAAAGAUGCAUUUCUUUCUCUUUUCCCUUCUCUCCACAGCAGCUGACUUUUCAUUGCAACGUACCUGGGAAAGCUCUGGGAAGCUGGCACCAGUCUGGGCCAGCCACAUGCAACAAUACCUCCCUAGUUGUAUGAUGAUGAGACCAGCUUUUCCGCAGGGUUCCACAGGGAACCCCCGAAGUAUAAGCAAAGAGCGGCAGCCGGGUAUGGAGCUGUGGAUCAAACCAAAUGCAGUAGACUGUGUGGAAUCAGUUUUCUACUGCUGAAGCCAAUGACUUUCAUAGGUGUUUCCUG